rnacentral:rRNA from 1 species
AGAGUUUGAUCAUGGCUCAGGAUGAACGCUGGCGGCGUGCUUAACACAUGCAAGUCGAACGAAGCACUUAUCAUGAAGUUUUCGGAUGGAUCGGUAAAUGACUGAGUGGCGGACGGGUGAGUAACGCGUGGGUAACCUGCCUUAUACAGGGGGAUAACAGUUGGAAACGACUGCUAAUACCGCAUAAGCGCACAGUACUG